UGUAUUCAGUCUCUGCCUGGCCACUAUCUGAUCUGACUUUAUACCGUUAGCUCCCUUUCCUCCUCCUGGAGCUCGAGAAAGCAGUUCCGUUUCAGGACUGAAAACAGUGAGAGGCAGAGAUCAGAUCACCAUUUGUCUUUGGGAAACUGCUGGCAGGUGACUUGUUGAGGGGCUAUCACGUUAACAUCUUUGGGGACCAAGACGGGAAGGAGAAGCCACAGCAGCAGACGACAAUUCCAACCACAGAAACGGUGAAGGGUGGCAUUAGGAGAAGAGUGCAGAGGCUGAAGAGGUGACCCUGAACAAAAGGAAGGCCCAAGUGGCUUGGAGACAUAACCAUGAAAGAUUCAAUGAAGGAUGAACGGUAGUCAUUAUGGAGCAUCUGCCACGGAGUCUUUUGGAAUAAUUUAUUUGAAGUUUAGCUUAACCAGCUCUGCCACACAGUAUGACAGUCAGAUCCUUCGUGUUUGACUGUGAGAUGUAUUCACAUCAAAA